rnacentral:pre_miRNA from 14 species
CAUUAGCUAACAGAUUGGAUAUGAAAGAUCCCUGAAGGGAGACCCUCACUCAAGUCUUGGGAAGUCUCGGACCCCAGACACACGAGAGACC